UUUGAGGGAAGCUCUGCUUCAGCUGUGGGCACAGAAGGCAAGACUCGGGACAAUCUUCAUAAUGACUUGGUCCCAUCUCCUCCUCACCCUUCUCCUUCACUGCACAGGGUCCUGGGCCCAGUCUGUGCUGACUCAGCCGCCCUCAGCUUCUGGGAACCCUGGGCAGAAGGUCACCAUCUCCUGUUCUGGAAGGAGCUCCAACAUUGGAAGUAAUUAUGUAUCCUGGUACCAGCAGCUCCCAGGAACAGCUCCCAAACUCCUCAUCUAUGGUAACAGCAAUCGGCCCUCAGGGGUCCCUGACCGAUUCUCUGGCUCCAAGUCUGGCACCUCAGCCACCCUGGGCAUCACUGGUCUCCGGCUUGAGGACGAGGCCGAUUAUUACUGCUUAGCAUGGGAUGACAGCCUGAAAGCUCGCACAGUGCUCCAGGCCAAUGGGAAACUGAGACAAGAACCCCUUCCUCCUCUGCCAGGAAGGUGAGUCCCUGGCAGCUGC